rnacentral:sRNA from 1 species
GCUGGGCAUGGUGGUGCAUGCUUGUAAUCCUAGCAGUUUGGGAGGCUGUGGCAGGAGGAUAGAGAGUUCUAAGCCAGUCUCAGCAACUU